rnacentral:piRNA from 1 species
UAUAAGGUCUAGGACUCAAUCCAAGGGAAC